GUGCUCGCUUUGGCAGCACAUAGACUAAAAUUGGAGCGACACAGAGAUUAACAUGGCCCUGUGCAGGGUCGACACGCAAAUUCGUGAAGCGUUCCAUAUUUUU